rnacentral:hammerhead_ribozyme from 1 species
AUCCAGAUGACCAGUGGCAAAUAGGACGAAAUGCGCAUCUUGGAU